rfam:Chelonia mydas contig198365, whole genome shotgun sequence.
UGGAAAGAAGUUUUGUCAUAAUUAGUUUGGCCGACGAUACAGAGAAGAUUAGCAUGGCCCCUACGCAAGGACGACACGCAAAUUUGUGAAGCGUUCCAUUAAAAA